CCGAGUUAUACAACUCAUCAACCCCUGUGAACAUACCUAUACUGUUGCCUCGGCGGGAUCAGACCGCUCCCGGUAACACGGGCCGGCCCCGCCAGAGGACCCCCUAACUCUGUUUCUAUAUGUUACUUCUGAGUAAACCAUCAAAUAAAUUA
rnacentral:misc_RNA from 1 species